UACGUAGGGGUCGAGCGUUGUCCGGACUUACUGGGCGUAAAGCGUGCGUAGGUGGUUCGUUAAGUCUGAUGUGAAAGCCCUGGGCUCAACCUGGGAAUGGCAUUGGAAACUGGCGAUCUAGAGUGCGGUAGAGGGCAGUGGAAUUCCCGGUGUAGCAGUGAAAUGCGUAGAGAUCGGGAGGAACAUCUGUGGCGAAGGCGACUGCCUGGACCAGCACUGACACUGAGGCACGAAAGCGUGGGGAGCGAACAGG
rnacentral:rRNA from 1 species